GACGAACGCUGGCGGCGUGCUUAACACAUGCAAGUCGAACGGUGAAGCGCCUUCCUUUUUGGUGGGUGUGGAUGAGUGGCGAACGGGUGAGUAACACGUGAGUAACCUGCCCCCUUCUUCUGGAUAACCGCAUGAAAGUGUGGCUAAUACGGGAUAUUCUGGGUCUGUCGCAUGAUGGGUCUGGGAAAGAUAUUGUUUCGGUGGGGGAUGGGCUCGCGGCCUAUCAGCUUGUUGGUGGGGUGAUGGCCUACCAAGGCGGUGACGGGUAGCCGGCCUGAGAGGGUGGACGGUCACACUGGGACUGAGACACGGCCCAGACUCCUACGGGAGGCAGCAGUGGGGAAUAUUGCGCAAUGGGCGCAAGCCUGAUGCAGCGACGCCGCGUGAGGGAUGGAGGCCUUCGGGUUGUGAACCUCUUUCGCCAGUGAAGCAGGCCUGCCUCGUUUGUGGGUGGGUUGACGGUAGCUGGAUAAGAAGCGCCGGCUAACUACGUG
rnacentral:rRNA from 1 species